rnacentral:rRNA from 1 species
CCUUUUCUUGCUUAUUCCGCCUAUAUACCGCCGUCUCCAGCCUACCCUGUAAAGGAUCAACAGUAAGCAAAAUUGGCACAGCCCUGAACGACAGGUCGAGGUGUAGCGUAUGAAAAGGGAAGAGAUGGGCUACAUUCAGUGAAACACUGAAUACGGAAAAUUGAUUGAAACAUUGAUUUGAAGGAGGAUUUAGUAGUAAGCGGGGAAUAGAGAGCCCCACUGAAGCCGGCCCUGAAGCGUGUACACACCGCCCGUCACUCUCCCCGAGCAGAAAGACUCUAUCCCUAAAAAACUAGAAAUGAAAAGGGGAGGUAAGUCGUAACAUGGUAAGUGUACCGGAAGGUGCACUUGGAAAAAC